rfam:Manacus vitellinus contig23273, whole genome shotgun sequence.
UAGAAAAUAAUAUAGAGGGAGUAUAGAGGAUUUUGAUUCCUUUAGCGUAGGUUCGAUUCCUACUUUUCUAA